UACAGAAGCCUCGAGCGUUACCCGGAUUCACUGGGCGUAAAGGGUGCGUAGGCGGUUAUAUUAGUCUCGCGUUAAAUCUUCGGGCUCAACCCGAAACUCGCGUGGGAAACGGUAUAACUAGAAGAAGUGAGAGGUGUGCGGAACUCAAGGUGUAGGGGUGAAAUCCGUUGAUAUCUUGGGGAACACCAAAUGCGAAGGCAGCACACUGGCACUUUCUUGACUCUGAGGCACGAAAGCGUGGGUAGCGAAUCGG
rnacentral:misc_RNA from 1 species